UGGGGAAUUUUGGACAAUGGACGAAAGUCUGAUCCAGCAACGCCGCGUGAGGGAUGAAGGUCUUCGGAUUGUAAACCUCUUUUGGAGGGGAUGAGAUCAUCGGUUUACCGAUGGUGGACAGUACUCUCAGAAUAAGCCACGGCUAACUACGUGCCAGCAGCCGCGGUAAUACGUAGGUGGCUAGCGUUACUCGGAAUUACUAGGUGUAAAGCGCAGGUAGGUGGUUUGAUAAGUUGAAAGUGAAAGCCCCGACUAAAUCGGGGACGUCUUUCAAUACUGUCAGGCUUGAGUGUGGUAGGGGGGACCAGAAUUCCCGGUGUAGCGGUGAAAUGCGUAGAUAUCGGGAGGAAUACCGAUGGCGAAAGCGGAUCCCUGGGCCAUUACUGACACUGAGCUGCGAAAGCGUGGGGAGCAAACAGG
rnacentral:rRNA from 1 species